rfam:Schistosoma mattheei strain Denwood, Zambia genome assembly, scaffold: SMTD_scaffold0016848
AUCCAACUGACGAAUCUCAAAUAGGAAGAAACGAGCGUUCUAGAU